UACGAAGGGGGCUAGCGUUGCUCGGAAUCACUGGGCGUAAAGCGCACGUAGGCGGAUUGCUAAGUCAGGGGUGAAAUCCUGGAGCUCAACUCCAGAACUGCCUUUGAUACUGGCGAUCUCGAGUCCGGGAGAGGUGAGUGGAACUGCGAGUGUAGAGGUGAAAUUCGUAGAUAUUCGCAAGAACACCAGUGGCGAAGGCGGCUCACUGGCUCGAUACUGACGCUGAGGUGCGAAAGCGUGGGGAGCAAACAGG
rnacentral:rRNA from 1 species